rnacentral:rRNA from 1 species
UAGGGAAUCUUCGGCAAUGGGGGGAACCCUGACCGAGCAACGCCGCGUGAGUGAAGAAGGUUUUCGGAUCGUAAAGCUCUGUUGUUAAGGAAGAACGAGUGUGAGAAUGGAAAGUUCAUGCUGUGACGGUACUUAACCAGAAAGGGACGGCUAACUACGUGCCAGCAGCCGCGGUAAUACGUAGGUCCCGAGCGUUGUCCGGAAUUAUUGGGCGUAAAGCGCGCGCAGGUGGUUUAGAAAGUCUGAUGUGAAAGCCCUCGGCUCAACCGUGGAGGGUCAUUGGAAACUAAUAAACUUGAGUGCAGGAGAGAAAAGUGGAAUUCCUAGUGUAGCGGUGAAAUGCGUAGAGAUUAGGAGGAACACCGGUGGCGAAAGCGGCUUUUUGGCCUGCAACUGACACUGAGGCGCGAAAGCGUGGGGAGCAAACAGG